AGCAAAGCUCUGCCCCGGGGGGCAUUACAAGUCUUAGGCUAAUAAAUGUCAGGCUGGACUUUUUUGGAUUGCAAGUAACAAAAACAUAAACUAAGUUAAAACAAUAAGAAAUCAUUGUAAAAAAUACUGGUUGCCACAAGGAAUCUGGAACAGGCAGGACUGUAUCACAGGAACCAAUGUCACCAAUAGCCUCCGACCCUUCUUGGCCUUUCAGUUCUGGAGGGUCCAGUUUUGUCCUUGUGCUGAGGACCUCUCCGUGUCCCUAUCUCUAGCUCUGUCUUUGUAUUAGCCUCUCCUCCACGUGAAGGGAAAUAGGGUCAUAUAAAGGUUCCCAACUUUAUAGUACUUUGCAAUUUUUCCCUGGGGAGAAAUUGUCUUUUUCACUUCUAGUUUCAAAAUUCCCCAGGAGGUCGCUGAUUGGACUAAAAUGUGUCAGCUCUUCACUCCAGGACCAAUCCCCUGUGGCAAGGUGGGGGAGUGGGAUUUGAGAAGGGCUGUGACUGGCCCAGUUUAGGUCAGAGACGCCUUCCCCACUCUCGCCCACCCCCACCUCGGAGACAAACGGCUCUUCCGGGUGAGAACGGGAGCCCAGAACUCUGCACCUGCGCUGCUGGCACCAACAGGGGCCAUAAAAUGUCACCACUGCCGAGGUGCAAUUUUCAAGAGGGUCCUCGGUGGCGGGGAAUCACCGCGCGAAGGGCCCACGGCUCAGUGCGGGGCUGGGGGAAGCUGCGACAGCGAGGAGGCCUUCCGACCUCCUUCCCUUCGAGCUUCUGAGCACCCCCCUUCCCCCGCUUUGUAAACCAGCAGUGGCACGUGGUCCGAGCUUCCCGAGGGGUGGGUCGGGGGUGCUGCAUCAGUUACUUCAGCCUGAGGAGCUUUUGACCAAACGUAAACAUCGCAGGGACCGGAGCCGCAGCCCCGCCCGGGCUCGGCGGCGACAGCGACCCGGACGCCGCGGCGGCUGCGAGCGCCCCUCCCCCCUCCGGCCCGCGAGCCCAUUUUCGCUUGGCCGGUCCCAGCGCUGCGGGAUGGAUCGCGCCCCACCCCCGCUCCUCUGCUCAGUCAUUCAGACUUGGAAAGUCAAUAACACGCUGACAUCAUCAGGGGUUUGUGUAUUAUUACACGGCUACUUUCCAGAGUACCUGGCAUUAUCUAAGAGAGGAGGCCUGGGCUGCCCGAGAAAGGGCCCUGCGCCUGGGGCCUGCGGCCUGGGGAGGGGCGGCUGCUCUAGGCGAGGCCUUCUCUUCUUGGGGGCAUCUGCAGGGCACCAAUUAGAAACAUCGGGAGUUUUUGCUGUACCGAACGCAGAUGCACUUUAGCUAUCGAUACAGGCUUCAUUUUGGCUUGGGGAUGCACUUAUAAAUCAUCCUUAAGUGACCUCUGUUUCUACCAAAGACAUCCAGUUGGUCUUUAAGAAGCAUUUUUAGUAAUCUUGACAAAGGAAGAGAAGAAAGGCAUCCUCAAUGACAAACCAAAGGCUGAUUCUUUUGAGACUUGGGGUGCGCGCGCCAUUCUCUAUUAUGUAAUCGCCAUCACGGGUGAUUAGGUCUUCCUGUUUCCCUCAAGGCUGAGCGGGAUGGUUUGGUUGCCGUUUUUCCUGUAAGCAUCAUGCAGGGCAAACACAGACACAUAAAAACAUGUCCCAGACUUAUGGUGGAAAACUGCUCUCCAAGCAGAUUGUCAUAGAAGACUUGUCUCAGUUUUGGAGGAGGGAAAUGGAUGAAUUUGUUGUUAAUAAAAGCUCC
ensembl:lncRNA